rnacentral:misc_RNA from 1 species
GAUGAGAACGCAGUGAAAUGCGAUAACUAGUGUGAAUUGCAGAAUUCCGUGAAUCAUCGAGUCUUUGAACGCACAUUGCGCCCCCUGGUAUUCCGGGGGGCAUGCCUGUCCGAGCGUCAUUGCUGCCCAUCAAGCACGGCUUGUGUGUUGGGUCGUCGUCCCCUCUCCGGGGGGGACGGGCCCCAAAGGCAGCGGCGGCACCGCGUCCGAUCCUCGAGCGUAUGGGGCUUUGUCACCCGCUCUGUAGGCCCGGCCGGCGCUUGCCGAACGCAAAUCAAUCUUUUUCCAGGUUGACCUCGGAUCAGGUAGGGAUACCCGCUGAACUUAAGCAUAUCAAUAAGCGGAGGA